rnacentral:rRNA from 1 species
GGGCCGUGGGGGUCUAUAAUGCAGUCGACGCUUUGUGGUUCAACUGAUUUGAAGAGCUUGCUCAGAUAUGACGAUGGACAUUGCAAAGAGUGGCGAACGGGUGAGUAACACGUGGGAAACCUACCUCUUAGCAGGGGAUAACAUUUGGAAACAGAUGCUAAUACCGUAUAACAAUGACAACCGCAUGGUUGUUAUUUAAAAGAUGGUUCUGCUAUCACUAAGAGAUGGUCCCGCGGUGCAUUAGCUAGUUGGUAAGGUAAUGGCUUACCAAGGCGAUGAUGCAUAGCCGAGUUGAGAGACUGAUCGGCCACAAUGGGACUGAGACACGGCCCAUACUCCUACGGGAGGCAGCAGUAGGGAAUCUUCCACAAUGGGCGAAAGCCUGAUGGAGCAACGCCGCGUGUGUGAUGAAGGGUUUCGGCUCGUAAAACACUGUUGUAAGAGAAGAAUGACAUUGAGAGUAACUGUUCAAUGUGUGACGGUAUCUUACCAGAAAGGAACGGCUAAAUACGUGCCAGCAGCCGCGGUAAUACGUAUGUUCCAAGCGUUAUCCGGAUUUAUUGGGCGUAAAGCGAGCGCAGACGGUUAUUUAAGUCUGAAGUGAAAGCCCUCAGCUCAACUGAGGAAUUGCUUUGGAAACUGGAUGACUUGAGUGCAGUAGAGGAAAGUGGAACUCCAUGUGUAGCGGUGAAAUGCGUAGAUAUAUGGAAGAACACCAGUGGCGAAGGCGGCUUUCUGGACUGUAACUGACGUUGAGGCUCGAAAGUGUGGGUAGCAAACAGGAUUAGAUACCCUGGUAGUCCACACCGUAAACGAUGAGUGCUAGGUGUUUGAGGGUUUCCGCCCUUAAGUGCCGCAGCUAACGCAUUAAGCACUCCGCCUGGGGAGUACGACCGCAAGGUUGAAACUCAAAGGAAUUGACGGGGACCCGCACAAGCGGUGGAGCAUGUGGUUUAAUUCGAAGCAACGCGAAGAACCUUACCAGGUCUUGACAUCCCUUGACAACUCCAGAGAUGGAGCGUUCCCUUCGGGGACAAGGUGACAGGUGGUGCAUGGUUGUCGUCAGCUCGUGUCGUGAGAUGUUGGGUUAAGUCCCGCAACGAGCGCAACCCUUAUUACUAGUUGCCAGCAUUCAGUUGGGCACUCUAGUGAGACUGCCGGUGACAAACCGGAGGAAGGUGGGGAUGACGUCAAAUCAUCAUGCCCCUUAUGACCUGGGCUACACACGUGCUACAAUGGCGUAUACAACGAGUUGCCAACCCGCGAGGGUGAGCUAAUCUCUUAAAGUACGUCUCAGUUCGGAUUGUAGGCUGCAACUCGCCUACAUGAAGUCGGAAUCGCUAGUAAUCGCGGAUCAGCACGCCGCGGUGAAUACGUUCCCGGGUCUUGUACACACCGCCCGUCACACCAUGAGAGUUUGUAACACCCAAAGCCGGUGGGGUAACCUUCGGGAGCCAGCCGUCUAAGGGACCAAG